rnacentral:rRNA from 1 species
GUGGGGAAUAUUGCACAAUGGGGGAAACCCUGAUGCAGCAACGCCGCGUGAGUGAUGAAGGCCUUCGGGUUGUAAAGCUCUGUCUUUGGGGACGAUAAUGACGGUACCCAAGGAGGAAGCCACGGCUAACUACGUGCCAGCAGCCGCGGUAAUACGUAGGUGGCAAGCGUUGUCCGGAUUUACUGGGCGUAAAGGGAGCGUAGGUGGAUAUUUCAGUGGGAUGUGAAAUCCCCGGGCUUAACCUGGGGGCUGCAUUCCAAACUGGAUGUCUAGAGUGCAGGAGAGGAGAGUGGAAUUCCUAGUGUAGCGGUGAAAUGCGUAGAGAUUAGGAAGAACACCAGUGGCGAAGGCGACUCUCUGGACUGUAACUGACACUGAGGCUCGAAAGCGUGGGGAGCAAACAGGAUUAGAAACCCGGGUAGUCC